GCCAGUCCGGCCUUGGAGUGGAAAGCAAACAGUGAGCUGGAGACGGCUCUGGAGCUCAGCUCUGAAACCACCAGCUGGGAUUGUCCUGCUCUGGGGGAGAAUGUUCCCUGUGGGACCAGCCCUGCGCUGCAGGAAUCGCCCUCUGUCUGCAGUCCUGCAGCAGCUGGGCCGGGGGGGCUGCAGAGGAGCCCCAGGGGUGAGCAGACCUUGGCCCGGGGCACAGGGACCUGCUGGUGCAGCCCUGCCAGGCUCUGGGGCAGCCACUAUUCAUGACCUUGUGAAAUGUUGAACUUUGAGGACAACGGGAGCUGCAUUUCCAAACUCAAGGCUGUUUUCUCCAGCCUAGGACCAGAGGAUUUUUAUGCAGAGCUUUCUCAGUUUAACAAGAUCUCAGCAAUGGCCCUUCCUAAUUCCUGUAAUGCUCACUCAGCUCUUACUCAGGAGGACGUCCAGACGUGUGGAAAUGCUGGAAAUGCAACUCAUUAGCAACAGAAAUGGGGGUCCAUUAAUACAAAAGGUGUAAUAAUUUCAGUGAUCCUCUGAGAUCAUGAAGAGCCAACAUUGAGCACCCAAAACAAAUGGAACAAUGAAAGGCACCUGCCCAAAGAACUUCCACUUCAAGCAUACCUCUUGUUUUCUGGGAGAGCACUUGAUGCUAAGCAGUGCCCUACUUUGACAGGAAAUAAAACUGGUUGUUAAUUUUCAAUACUGAUGGCAAAAGGA